GGCGAACGCUGGCGGCGUGCCUAACACAUGCAAGUCGAGCGGGAUCCAUCCGGUGGCAACACCGGUGAAGAUCUAGCGGCGAACGGGUGAGUAACACGUGAGUAACCUGCCCUUGACUCUGGGAUAACUGCGGGAAACUGUAGCUAAUACCGGAUACGACCCUCGGAGGCAUCUCCUGGGGGUGGAAAGAAUUUCGGUCAAGGAUGGACUCGCGGCCUAUCAGCUAGUUGGUGAGGUAAAGGCUCACCAAGGCGACGACGGGUAGCCGGCCUGAGAGGGUGACCGGCCACACGGGGACUGAGACACGGCCCAGACUCCUACGGGAGGCAGCAGUGGGGAAUAUUGCACAAUGGGCGCAAGCCUGAUGCAGCAACGCCGCGUGAGGGAUGACGGCCUUCGGGUUGUAAACCUCUUUUAGCAGGGAAGAAGCGAAAGUGACGGUACCUGCAGAAAAAGCACCGGCUAACUACGUGCCAGCAGCCGCCGUAA
rnacentral:rRNA from 1 species